rnacentral:rRNA from 1 species
CACUCCUACGGGAGGCAGCAGUGGGGAAUAUUGCACAAUGGGCGCAAGCCUGAUGCAGCCAUGCCGCGUGUAUGAAGAAGGCCUUCGGGUUGUAAAGUACUUUCAGCGGGGAGGAAGGCGAUAAGGUUAAUAACCUUGUCGAUUGACGUUACCCGCAGAAGAAGCACCGGCUAACUCCGUGCCAGCAGCCGCGGUAAUACGGAGGGUGCAAGCGUUAAUCGGAAUUACUGGGCGUAAAGCGCACGCAGGCGGUCUGUCAAGUCGGAUGUGAAAUCCCCGGGCUCAACCUGGGAACUGCAUUCGAAACUGGCAGGCUAGAGUCUUGUAGAGGGGGGUAGAAUUCCAGGUGUAGCGGUGAAAUGCGUAGAGAUCUGGAGGAAUACCGGUGGCGAAGGCGGCCCCCUGGACAAAGACUGACGCUCAGGUGCGAAAGCGUGGGGAGCAAACAGGAUUAGAUACCCGUGUAGUCCCAUGAU